CCUGCAGUAUCCAGAUAAUAAAAAUCAAUUAUUAUUCAACCACAAAUAAAGUAACAGUUUGUUAGUCACUCAAAAUAGAAAUAGCACGUUAGAUCUCCCCAAUUUACAGAAAGAGUGAACUUGAACUUGCCACUACAGCACUUCAAAGUUAUAAGUAUCACAAGCAGACGAUAGUGCCUUACUAGCUCCGCUGUCAUACAUUUUGCCGGUUGACUAUUCCAACCAUCCAAUAUUCUGGCCUUCCAAUCUAUUGAUGAUCUAGUCUAUGUUGAGCAGCCUUAACAGAUGCAAGCUGAAAGCCACUGGAAAAACAGAAAGGAUCCUCACAUAUAUGCAUUUAACUUAGAUUAGUUUUAAGUAGAAACUACAUUCAUUUCGGACAAAGUACCUGUCUUCGUGCAGCCCUCGUUCCCCGCUUGAUCAUGCUGAAAUGGCCAGGAACGUGUCCCUCAAACUUCUUAAAAUCUGUAGAUACAGUAAACAUGAGACCAUACAUUGCUAAGAUUAAAGGCUUGGACUGUUCGCAGACCUUAUCCAAAGUUAACUAAAUAUGUAUGUAUAUACAAUUACAUAAAUACACGCACAGACACAAAUUACACAAGGAUGCAUACAUAUAAUUGAUAAUCUAUACUUCUACUCACUCUGAAUGCAAUAUCCAUACUUACAACCUCUCAAUCGAAAUCUAACGGUUGACGUCUACAUCCUGGUAGAGAGAACGUUUCUUUUUUGGAAAAUUAUCAGUUAUUGGAUGAAGGCUGGAGAACAAAAACAUUUGUACUCAUUGGUGAAAUGUAAAUCAUGAUUAGGAGGACCAGUAGAUAUGUACCAACUUAUAGGCAGGUUCAUAAUAUUCUGACUAUAUAUAUAAGUUACGUUCAAAAUACGAGGACCUGUAAUUAAUCUUGAAUGUAACAUAGAUUGCAUUGCCAUGACCAAAGAUAAAUUAGACACAGUGCUGAAUUACAAGAAUAAUCAAUUAACAAUGUACUACGGGCAAUUUGAUUGUCGUAAAAGGAGUGUUUGGAUGAGGGAUUUGAAAGUGCCGAGGGCUUUAGGCUAAAUUAGUUAAAAUUCACUACAAAAUAUUAGAUGGAAGGAUAUGAAAGACUAGAUGCAAUGCAUCGAGAAGGAUUUGUAAAUGACAGCUUGAAAGGAGACAUUUAAAAAUACUUUGUUUGUGUGCAAUGAUCAUGUAGUGCGUUUCAAUAUCUAUGUCUACUGCUUUGUAGAUGAAGUCCCUCAUCCAAACAGAGUGAGAGAACUAGGAGUUUUAGCAUACACAAGUCACAAGUCAUGUGUUAUCUGUCGACGUGAUAACAAAAGUCCCUCACCUCCACUAUAAGGGCUUGUGACAUCAUUAUGUGUGCAUUAUCAGAUUCAUUGCCCUUCUGUCUAUGAUAACCUCUGGGAAGACUAUGAAGACCCUGACAACAGAAUAUCUACGCAUCAAAAUCCAAAAAGCCCCAUAAGCGAAGCAUUUUCAAAAUUUCAGACUAUAUGAGCACAAGCAUUGCAGGUGAUCCGGAACGAUGUGUCAAAACCUGUUAGCGACGUCUACAUUAAACUCCUGAAAACAAUGGUCGUAUUGUAGGGUCCUCACGGAACAACCUUGAUAUAACAAACAAGUAAGGCAGACUGUGCUGCCCUUCAAUAGAAUACCAAGUAUCCUUACAUACAUGCAUCUAUCUUAGAUUAGUUUAUGUAGAAAGUAUAUUCAUUUUGGACAAAGUACCUGUCGAUUGAUCUAUCAAUAAAGUUAGCAGCAUGUGCUGCCCUUCAAGAACAAAUUCCCUGGUUGAUCCUGCUGAAAUGGCCAGAAUAAGUUACUUUCAAAAUACGAGGACCUGUAAAUAAUCUUGAAUGUAACAUAGAUCUAUCAAUUAAAAGGCAAAAGAAUACCUAAGUUACAAGACUAAUCAAUUAACAAUAUACCACAGGCAAUAUGAUUCUCUUAAACAUAAAGUUGGGAUGAGAGAUUUGAAAGUGUCAAGGGCUUAGGGCUAAAUUAGUUGGAGGGAUAUGAAAGACUAGAUGCAAUGCAUUAAGAGGGAUUUGUAAUGACUGCUUGAAAGGAGACAUUUAUAAAUACUUUGUUUAUGUGUGUAAUGAUCAUGUAGUGCAUUUUAAAUGUCUAUAUCCUUCAUCCAAACAUAGGGUGAGAGAACUAGGAGUUUUAGCAUACACAACUCACUGACAUAGGACAAUACAAAUUAAGGCAAAACAAACAGAUGUCAAAAUCCAAAAUGCCUUACUUCUUUGAGUCAUUAUGUGUGCAUUAUGCCCUUAUCAGACCCCUUGCUUUUUUGUUUAUGAAAACUCUGGGAAGACUAUGAAGAUCGUGAGGAAAGAAUAUCUCCGCAUAGAAAUCCAAAAAGCCCCAUAAGCGAAGCAUUUCCAAAUUUCUGAGUAUACGAGCACAAGCAUUGCAGGUGAUCCUGAACCAUGUGGCAAAACCUGUUUGCGAUGUCUACAUUAAACUCCUCAAAACAACGCCCGUAUUGUAGGAUUCUCACAGAACAACUUGAAAUAACCAAGAAGUAUGGCAGACUUCCAUAACGAGUGGAGAUAUAGAGCUCAUGGUUCAGAUUGAUGCCUUGCAUUGGUCCUUCGGAAACCCUGAAAUAAAAUUAGAAAAGGAAUCUUGUGACUUAUUGCUCUUUUCUUAAUUUAUUCAUAUUUGUCCAGCCAAUCAAAGUGGUAACAAGUUAGAAACCUUGAUUCUAAGUUCCAAAUGUAGAAUAUCAAAGUACCUUGAUUCUAAGCGAAGCAUUUUCAAAAUUUCAGACUAUAUGAGCACAAGCAUUGCAGGUAAUCCGGAACGAUGUGUCAAAACCUGUUAGCGACGUCUACAUUAAACUCCUGAAAACAAUGGUCGUAUUGUAGGGUCCUCACAGAACAACCUUGAUAUAACAAACAAGUAAGACAGAUUGUGCUGCCCUUCAAUAGAAUACCAAGUAUCCUUACAUAUAUGCACAUAUCUUAGAUUAGUUAAUGUAUAAAGUAUAUUCCUUUCGGACAAAGUACCUGUCGAUUGAUCUAUUAAUAAAGUUAGCAGCAUGUGCUGCCCUUCAAGAACAAAUUCCCUGGUUGAUCCUGCUGAAAUGGCCAGAAUAAGUUACUUUCAAAAUACGAGGACCUGUAAAUAAUCUUGAAUGUAACAUAGAUCUAUCAAUUAAAAGGCAAAAGAAUACCAAAGUUACAAGACUAAUCAAUUAACAAUAUACCACAGGCAAUAUGAUUCUCUUAAACGUAAAGUUGGGAUGAGAGAUUUGAAAGUGUCAAGGGCUUAAGGCUAAAUUAGUUGGAGGGAUAUGAAAUAAAAUUAGAAAAGGAAUCUUGUGACUUAUUGCUCUUUUCUUAAUUUAUUCAUAUUUGUCCAGCCAAUCAAAGUGGUAACAAGUUAGAAACCUUGAUUCUAAGUUCCAAAUGUAGAAUAUCAAAGCUCAUAAGAAUUAGAAACAAAGAGAAGAUUUCAGAGAGUUUUACCUUCACUGGUUUUCUCCAACUCCCAUUAUUUCCAUGUCAAAUGGGGAAAAAUCGUGUUUAAUCCUUUCUUCUCAUCGCUAUUGAAUGUCGAUGUCAACUCGAGCUCAACCCUUUUCCAUACCUCAUCUAGAAAAGAUGGUCCUGAUUCAAAGAUGAAGAAAUAAUGAUUUAUAAAGCGAUCUUAAUUACUUGUGCAAGUUUGACAAUCUGGACCUUUUCCUUUUGUUAUGAUUCACGCAUAUAAUCCAUCGACAAUGAUCAUGAAACAAGAAAAGAAAAGGAAACGUAAGUUACACUCCAGUAUUCAACAACUUACGAUGGAAUCUGUAAGAGUGCAGCAGCCAGCCAAAUUCACACGUUGUUUUUGUGCAGAAACAUAUCGGCACCUAUGUAAAGAUGACAGAUGCAAUGAAAGAUGAGUAAGCAUUCCACCGUAUUCAAACCACAACAGUAAGAGGAAAAAAAAAAACAUCAUCAAGGAGUUACCUCGUCCUGUGCAGGAGAAUCAUAUUGGUGUCAUAGCUAGCCAGAGCACCCAAUAACUUACUUGGAGUUACCUCGUCCUGUGCAGGAGUUACCUUGAUUGAUUCUCGUUUGAUUGCUUCAGUCCAAAUGCUAGAAAUAAAAUAAGGUGUUUAUGAGGAUUAAAGGGUGUGCAAAUAUCACUUCCCCAGAUUUAUGAUCCAACUAUUCGGAAGCUGGCCAGCUUCUCAAGAACGCUUUCUCCUCCGAAUCAGCAGUGCCAUACAGAGAGAAAUCCAAAGAAGGAAACGACUCCCAUAUAGGAGUUUUAUGCAGAAACUGGGGCAGCCUAAUACUGGCAACGUGGAUGCAAACCUACUUUCUCUUCUGAUGUCUAGAAACUUCAAUUAACCUCAGGACAUGAGCUCCAUGCUUUCUUCAAUGCUUUCACAAGGUCUAGAAGAUCUGCGUGUUUUCUUCGUUGCUUUCAGGAGUCUGGGGAACCUGCAAGUUCUCUUCAUUGUUUGCAAACCAAGUUCUGGAGGGCCUCUGGCUUCUCGCCCGUUCUUGCCUGCGAGCUAAGCAAAAAAAUUAAUGCAUCAACAACCAGUUUCCAGAAUGCAUGACCAUAAGGCUGUAUUCUAACAGCCUCACUUAUUUCCUGGCUAUAACAUAAGUCAAUAAUUUCCUUUCCGGAAUGAAAUAAACUUAAAAGUGCCACUUUUCCCAGUUUAUAUUUAAUGAACCUCCUCCUACUGUUUAGAAUUUGUACAUGAAGCGCUAUCAUGGUUCAGAGUUGUUACCAAGAAAAUUUCUAUCAUAUGACGCCUGCUCCAACCAUCCUCGACCAGAAGUGAGCUACACCGUAUCAUCAAUUUCUCCACAGCAUCUUCCUCUAGAACAGUUAAUGAAUCAAAUGGUUGCCUCCAUGAUGGACGACCCUGCAUCAUCCAGAUAAUAAUAAUACAUUAUUAUUCAACCACAAAUAAAGUAACAAUUUGUUAGUCACUCAAAAUAGAAAUAGCACGUUAGAUCUCCCCAAUUUACAGAAGGAGUGAACUUGAACUUGCCACUACAGCAUUUGAAAGUUAUAAGUAUCACAAGCAGACAAUAGCGCCUUACUAGCUCCGCUGUCGUACAUUUUGCCGGUUGACUAUUCCAACCAUCCAAUAUUCCGGCCUUCCAAUCUAUUGAUGAUCUAGUCUAUGUUGAGCAGCCUUAACAGAUGCAAGCUGAAAGCCACUGGAAAAACAGAAAGGAUCCUCACAUAUAUGCGUUUAACUUAGAUUAGUUUUAAGUAGAAACUACAUUCAUUUCGGACAAAGUACCUGUCUUCGUGCAGCCCUCGAGAACAAAUUCCCUGCUUGAUCAUGCUGAAAUGGCCAGGAACGUGUCCUUCAAACUUCUUAAAAUCUGUAGAUACAGUAAACAUGAGACCAUACAUUGCUAAGAUUAAAGGCUUGGACUGUUCGCAGACCUUAUCCAAAGUUAACUAAAUAUGUAUGUAUAUACAAUUACAUAAAUACACGCACAGACACAAAUUACACAAGGAUGCAUACAUAUAAUCGAUAAUCUAUACUUCUACUCACUCUGAAUGCAAUAUCCAUACUUACAACCUCUCAAUCGAAAUCUAACGGUUGACAUCUACAUCCUGGUAGAGAGAACGUUUCUUUUUUGGAAAAUUAUCAGUUAUUGGAUGAAGGCUGGCGAACAAAAACAUUUAUACUUCAAAAGAAUACCUAAGUUACAAGACUAAUCAAUUAACAAUAUACCACAGGCAAUAUGAUUCUCUUAAACGUAAAGUUGGGAUGAGAGAUUUGAAAGUGUCAAGGGCUUAAGGCUAAAUUAGUUGGAGGGAUAUGAAAGACUAGAUGCAAUGCAUUUAGAGGGAUUUGUAAAUGACUGCUUGAAGGGAGACAUUUAUAAAUACUUUGUUUAUGUGUGUAAUGAUCAUGUAGUGCAUUUUAAAUGUCUAUAUCCUUCAUCCAAACAUAGGGUGAGAGAACUAGGAGUUUUAGCAUACACAACUCACUGACAUAGGACAAUACAAAUUAAGGCAAAACAAACAGUGUCAAAAUCCAAAAUGCCUUACUUCUUUGAGUCAUUAUGUGUGCAUUAUGCCCUUAUCAGACUCCUUGCUUUUUUGUUUAUGAAAACUCUGGGAAGACUAUGAACAUCGUGAGGAAAGAAUAUCUCCGCAUAGAAAUCCAAAAAGCCCCAUAAGCGAAGCAUUUCCAAAUUUCUGAGUAUACGAGCACAAGCAUUGCAGGUGAUCCUGAACCAUGUGGCAAAACCUGUUUGCGACGUCUACAUUAAACUCCUAAAAACAAUGCCCGUAUUGUAGGAUUCUCACAGAACAACCUUGAAAUAACCAAGAAGUAUGGCAGACUUCCAUAACGAGCGGAGAUAUAGAGCUCAUGGUUCAGAUUGAUGCCUUGCAUUGGACCUUCGGAAACCCUGAAAUAAAAUUAGAAAAGGAAUCUUGUGACUUAUUGCUCUUUUCUUAAUUUAUUCAUAUUUGUCCAGCCAAUCAAAGUGGUAACAAGUUAGAAACCUUGAUUCUAAGUUCCAAAUGUAGAAUAUCAAAGCUCAUAAGAAUUAGAAACAAAGAGAAGAUUUCAGAGAGUUUUACCUUCACUGGUUUUCUCCAACUCCCAUUAUUUCCAUGUCAAAUGGGGAAAAAUCGUGUUUAAUCCUUUCUUCUCAUCGCUAUUGAAUGUCGAUGUCAACUCGAGCUCAACCCUUUUCCAUACCUCAUCUAGAAAAGACGGUCCUGAUUCAAAGAUGAAGAAAUAAUGAUUUAUAAAGUGAUCUUAAUUACUUGUGCAAGUUUGACAAUCUGGACCUUUUCCUUUUGUUAUGAUUCACGCAUAUAAUCCAUCGAUAAUGAUCAUGAAACAAGAAAAGAAAAGGAAACGUAAGUUACACUCCAGUAUUCAACAACUUACGAUGGAAUCUGUAAGAGUGCAGCAGCCAGCCAAAUUCACACGUUGUUUUUGUGCAGAAACAUAUCGGCACCUAUGUAAAGAUGACAGAUGCAAUGAAAGAUGAGUAAGCAUUCCACCGUAUUCAAACCACAACAGUAAGAGGAAAAAAAAACAUCAUCAAGGAGUUACCUCGUCCUGUGCAGGAGAAUCAUAUUGGUGUCAUAGCUAGCCAGAGCACCCAAUAACUUACUUGGUAUUGUACGAAGUAAUUUAUGUAAGCAAACACUUGUUGCUAUUGGAUGAUAUUGUCCUGAAAUUUAAUUGAUUGAUUAAUUAAACACAGUAUAGCUGACAGUAAACAAUUGAAGUGAAACUUUUACAGAAUCUGAAUCUCGUGUGUACGUACCUGACAUUGACUUGAGAUCUCAAUUGAUGAUGACUUGCUUGCCUAUCUUGAUGCAAGGAAUGUGAGCUAUCUUGCUCCACUCUUCUCCCGUCUUCUCCUGACACCUCUUCAUCAGAGAAGGACAGUUGUAGAUGCGCAAACAAGAGAGCGAUGCCAGCAAAUCCUCUUUUGGCAGGAAUUUGAGACUAUCACACUCGUAAAUUUGGAGCUCUUGAAGAGAAGUGAGGUGUUGAAUUCCCUUUCCCUCCAAAGAUUUCAGACUCGUAAAUUUGGAUGAUAGCGUCCUGAAAUUUAAACAAGUAUGUUUUUUAAUGGUGGUAUAGUUGAGUUAAACAGUUGAAAAGUUAAAACUGAUUGAUUAAUUAAACACUAUAUAUAGAUGACAGCAAACAAUUGAAGUGAAACUUUUACAUGAUCUGAAUCUUGUAUGUUAUUCUAUGAAAAAUGGUGCUAUGUACGUACCUGACUUUGAGUUGAGAUCUCAAAUGAUGACUUGGUCGCCUAUCUCGAUGCAAGGAAUGUGAGCUAUCUUGCUCCACUCUUCUCCUGUCUUCUCCUCACACCCGUAAUACAUGUGUUACACGCGAGAUAUUGACAAAACCCUCAUUAAUUAUUUCCUCACUAACAAGGCGAUAAUUUUGCCAGGAUCAUACAUCCAAGAAUAUGACAACCUGAGUACAAACGAUUUGAUUAUUUUUGCAUCCCAAAUACCACAUAUCCUAUGAUUUCAUCCAAAAACAGUUCAGAAUAUUCAUCUAAAGAACUUAGUUAUGAACAGAGGAGAUCCACAUGAUUUUACGAUGAAGUACAAUUUGACAAAAUAAUUCAUGAUUUACAUAAGAGUAAACGUGUUACCAGUACCACUGCAGCACUUGAAAGUUAAAGUAUCACAAGCAGAUAAUAGGGGCCUUACUAGCUCCGCUUUUUUCCAUGUGCCGGUUGACUCUUCCAACCAUCCAAUAUUCCGGCCUUCCAAUCCAUUGAUGAUGUGG
rnacentral:lncRNA from 1 species